AACGAACGCUGGCGGCAUGCCUAACACAUGCAAGUCGAACGAGACCUUCGGGUCUAGUGGCGCACGGGUGCGUAACGCGUGGGAACCUGCCUUUAGGUUCGGAAUAACUCAGAGAAAUUUGAGCUAAUACCGGAUGAUGUCUUCGGACCAAAGAUUUAUCGCCUUUAGAUGGGCCCGCGUUGGAUUAGCUAGUUGGUGGGGUAAAGGCCUACCAAGGCGACGAUCCAUAGCUGGUCUGAGAGGAUGAUCAGCCACACUGGGACUGAGACACGGCCCAGACUCCUACGGGAGGCAGCAGUGGGGAAUAGUGGACAAUGGGCGAAAGCCUGAUCCAGCAGUGCCGCGCGAGUGAUGAAGGCCUUAGGGUUGUAAAGCUCUUUUACCCGAGAUGAUAAUGACAGUAUCGGGAGAAUAAGCUCCGGCUAACUCCGUG
rnacentral:rRNA from 1 species